CCGCCGUCAGCGCACUCCGGCGCUACCCCGAGCUGCGCCAGGACGUCUGGCUCCUCCGCCGUCGUCGUCUACAUCUCCUCAUCACGCUGGAUGGAGCCGAGCCGCUCCAUCACCGCCAACACCUCCGUCUUCUACCUCGGGCGGCUGAAAUUGCUACGGACUGCUCGUCGUCUCCGGGCCUUCCACGGGCCUUCUCUGCAACGCCGGUGAGCUCCGGCUCCCUUCUCUCCAUUGGCGCCUUCCUCCGCGUUCGUAGCCGUAUUCGUCGUAGUUACCGUACCUGCCGCCGCGGUCGAGCUCGGUUGCCUGUGUCGAAGCUAUGCAUCUGCGCGCGCGCGCCCGCCCCUGACCCCGCGGCUACCUGCCUCUGCGCCCACACCGUCAUCGCUCGCCGCACGCUGCUAGCUGCUCCGCUCGCCAUGCCUCGCAUCGCCCGUGCCGCGUCGUCCCGCUCGCCCCUUCUUCCGCUUCCUCUGCCCGCCGCAGCCGGACCUGCCCGAUACGGCUGCUCGACCUGCUGUUGCUGCUGCCGCGGCCCCGCACAGCCGCGUGCGUGCCCAGCCACCGCCGCGCCCAUGCCCGGUGCCCGCUCGUCAGCCCCGCACCGGCGCCCGCCCUUGCUGCUCUGCGCUGCUGCAGCUUAUGAUGCUAACCGCCGCCGACUGCAGCUCGUCUGAGCUCCUGCUCGCGCGCCCGCCUUCGCCUCCCACGCGUGCUCGUCGGGGCCCGUAGCCCCCACUGCCGUCGCCGCCCCCCACUGCUCCGCUCGCGACGCCGCGCCUGUUCGCCCCCUCCUGCCGCGCUUGCCUGGCCCAGGCCGCGCCUGUUCGCCCCCUCCCACCGCUCGCCGGUGCUGGCCGCCCCCCCGACCUCGCCGGCUGCCGGCGCCCUGCCGCGCCCUGGUGGCCAUCGCCGGCCACGGCUUCGCCCGUGUGUUCGGGCGGGCGCCCACACCCUCUUGCCCGAUAGCCAGCGCCCGCUAUGGCCUCUGGCCCAAUGCCAGGUGGGCCCCAGCCCGGUAAAAAAAGUAAUACAAAAUAUAUAUUAAUAAAAUUAAUUAAUUAGUUAAUUAGUUAAAUUAUUAAUUAAUCUUAAUUAAACUAAUGAACUAGAUUAGUUAAUUUAAUCAGUAGUUAGGUAAAUGUGUGUAUGACAGGGGGCCCCAACCCUGUUGACCAGUCAAACUUUGACUGGUCAACUGGGUCCCCCUGGCCCGCAUGUCACCCUCUGGUACACUUCUGUGUACACAGAUCUGGGUGCACAUAGCAUUUGAGCUAUUUAAUUUCGAAUUAAUAACAAAUUCAGAAUAUUGUUUAAAUUUAUGAAAAAUCGUAGAAAUUAAUCUGUAACUCGGAUGAAAAGUUUUUAUACAUGAAAGUUGCUCAGAACGACGAGGCGAAUCGGAAUACGCGGUCCGUUCAUGUGUCACAUGCCCCUAUCACAGCGAACAUCGAACUUUUCCCCUCCGGUUCGUCUGUCCGAAAAUGCCUAACUCCGGGAAAACUUUCCGGAUGUUAUUCCCCUUCGCCGGUAUCGUCUAGCACUGCGUUAGAACCACCCUAGCCCUGCGUGUUACCCGUCAUGCAUCUGUGUUGCAUCUGUUUGCAUUAUAUUUACUAUUUCUUGCUCCUCUUCUUUCUGGUAGACACCGAGACCGCUGCUGAUGCCCCUGGGAUCGACUACGUCGACGAUGACCCCUCUUCCCUUUCAGCGGAGCUUCCAGGCAAGCCCCCCCUUUGAUCAUCCCGAUAUCGCCCAUUCCAUUCUCUCAUGCUUGCAUUAGAUUUUGCUACUUAUAUUGUUUGCUCCUAUUCUGAUGCAUAGCCUGCUUUUGUAACCUGCUCAUUGUACCUUACCUGCUUAUCCUAAACUGCUUAGUAUAGGUUGGUUAGUGAUCCAUCAGUGACCCCCACCUUGUCCUUGUUGCCCUGCUUCAUCUUUGAUGACUCGAUCAACGUGAUCGAUGACCAGAGCCUGACACCUCACAUCACAUCACGCCCUUUUUGUUGCUCGACUCUGCAGAGCUACUAUCGAGUGCCGAGGGUGAUCCCUCAUAACGCACUCCUGGUGGUAAUUCUGUAGUGUAGCUAUUCAGUCGUGGUCAUCGAGGGUGAUUUCCUCUUUCACCAUUUCUGAUACGGCUCUGCCGUGCAACACCUCAAGUGUCAACCUCGAGGGUGGCCCCUCUUACGUUCACCUUGAUGAUUACAUUGAGUGGAAUCCACCGGGGUGAUUCCUCGGGUUUUCCCCUUGAUGUUUGGACACACGGUUACCUUAACUUUACUUGAGACCAUUGUUGAAGUCGGGUCGGCCCUGAGGGGUACCCGCGAGUUGAUGUGAAAGUCGGGUGGGCCCGUUGAGCACCCGCGAGUUUUCUACGUGGCACGGCCGGGCAGUCUGGGCCCUUGCCGUAAGUCCAUGAGACGGGGCGACGGGGUCACAUUAUCGUGAGUCUCUGCUCGUCUCCGCGAGCCCCCAAUGCACUAACAGGUUUGGGUAUUUUUUCUGAGUUGGCCUCUGGCCUUUACGCACCAACCACCACGCGAGAAUAGUUAUGGGCCUCGACGUCGUAGUAUCAGCCGAAGCUUUGUGAGACGUCCAGUUCAGCAUUGCGGCACGGCUGGGCCGGCACCAACCUGUAGUGGUGGAGCCUGGACCCGCCCUGCAUGUAACGACCCGGAAUGCAACGGGCGAUGGGCCCAGACCCCGGAGUGCUUAGGAUGUAGACCGGCGGGGACCUCUCUGCUAAGCCUAGGUAGGGCUACGACGUGUUGAUUUUCCGAGGCCGGGCAUUGACCCAGAAAAGUGUGUCCGGCCAGAGUAAUCAAGCGUGUUGGAAAACGUGGUGCACCCCUGCAGGGAAGAUAUAUACUCAAAUACCGUGUCCACGGUAAUGGACGUCCAGACUUGUAUCCCGAUCUUAUAUAACUAGAAAUGGAUACUUGAGACAUGAGAUGGUUAUGUGGCUCCGGGAUUGCUUUCUCGUAGGUAGUCAAGGAAGGAUCUCUGGGCGUUAAUGCUACAACAUGUUUGUUAAAUAUAAACUGCUAUUCUUUACUCUUCUACAUGCUGCAAGAUGCUUGGAGCUGCUUGAAGAUGCUAGUCUUCGAUAGGCUAGGCCUUCCCUUCUAUUCUGGCAUUCUGCAGUUCUGUCCACAGAUACAACCCUUCCAUUUGAUACCAAUGCGUACUUAGUAUAGAUCUGAUGCUUGCGAGUACUUUGGAUGAGUACUCACGGUUGCUUUGCUUCCCCUUUCGCCCCUUCUUUCUUCUUUCUGGUUGUUGCAACCAGAUGGUGGACCCCAGGAGUCAGAUGCCACCCCCGCCGACUACGACUACUACCCUGCGGGUGCCUACUACUAUGUGGAGACCGCCGACGACCAGGAGUAGUUAGGAGGUCCCAGGCAGGAGGCCUUGCCUCUUCGAUCGUGUUGCUUUUGGUGCUAGCCUUCUUAAGACAUCCUUGUUUAACCUAUGUCUGUACUCAGAUAUUGUUGCUUCCGAUGACGCUUGUAUUCGAGCUUCUGUAUUCGAGCCCUCGAGGCCCCUGGCUUGUAAUAUGAAGCUUGUAUUAUUUCAAUUAGUGUUUAGAGUUGUGUUGUGAUAUCUUCCCGUGAGUCCCUGAUCUUGAUCGUACACGUUUGCGUGUAUGAUUUGUGUACGGUCGAAUCGGGGGCGUCACAAGUUGCUAUCGGAGCCGACUGCAUGUAGGAACCCCCUUUCCAACUCCUUGGCCGAAGUUGAGUCUAGUCUUUGAAAAACCGAUUUACUAACAUGGCUGUGUGGUUUCCGGGCCCACAUCGCCAUUGGGUGGUAUUAGGAUCUUUUACUCCUCGACCUUUACUCUGGGAUUCUGAUCUCUCUUCUACUCGGGUUAAAUGAUUUUACUAAAUCUAACAUUAGGAUCUCAUGAUCACAUCCACCCAGAGAUUUGUAUUACCCUUUUCUCGAAUUGGGAGCCAAGUUCUGCUUCACAAUAUUCACUGACCGCAGGAUCCUCUUGUCGAGGGCACCCUACGUCAUCACUUGCUAAUCCCUCACUCCAUAGGUUUUCCCUGACAUUGAUGUAGCCUUCGCUAUGUCCCGUUGUUGUAUCCCUCCAUCGCGUGCACGCGUGCCACCUAGCAUGUCUGGGAUGUUUCUCUUGUCCGAACUCAUUCGAACAUCGUGUAACUGGCUCUAUAUAUGUAUCAGUAUGUCUUUAAUGACUACUGCCUUGUACAUACCGCGCCUUUGCUCGAUGUUCAAAUUACAUCAUGAAUAACUCCAUACACCUACUCCACCCCUUGUUAAACCGCUUCCUCAUGUUUUAAGCAGGAUGGUUAGACCCGCUAGUUAUGGCCGUGGUGGCGACAAUCCACCAUCGCCCAAAUUCAUGGCCGGAAUGAGACAACAGUUUGAUGCUAAAUCGAGUUCAUGGUAGGAUUUAUGGCUCAGUUCCCGCGCCCAAAUAUGAAUCAGCAACCCGCCCCAGUGACACUGCAAGACUUUGCACGUCUCAACCCUAUAAUCUACCGCAGCUCAACUCAGUCCCUUACUGCUGAUGAUUGGCUCUGUGACAUCACUUUCGAGUUGGAGUCGGCUGUUGUAGCCCCUGCCAACUAUGUCACCUUCGCGGCUUAUUACCUGAAAGGUCCCGCUGCUCAAUGGUGGGACAACCACAAGCAUUCCUUACCCGUUGAAACUGCCAUCACUUGGCCAAAAUUUCCAGCUGCAUCCUGUGGUCCAAAGUUGAACCACCAUGGUUAGUCACAACGUCCCCGUUGAAGUUGAAGGGCUGAAAUUCCAUGUUUCCCCCAUUGUUUUGAAGUCGUCCAAUAUCGACCUCAUUCUGGGCAUGGAAUGGAUGAAAGCACAUACUGCUUCUAUCAUUUGCACUACUAAAACUGUCUAUCUACUGCAUCAUUCGAGUGAGAUAGUAAGCUAAGAGGCUCAUCUUGUUCGAAAUACCGAAGCACAGAUUUAUUCCUUGAACGCGUAAACACUUCUCCUCUUGUGAGAAUUGGAAACGCUCCAGUCGUUUGUGAAUUCCAGGAUAUCUUUCGAGAAGAACUACCCAGUCCAUGGCCUUGAACUUGAUGCAGUUAAGUUUGCACUGAAAUUGUGGCAACAUUUCCUUCUUGGUAAUCGUUGCGAGAUCUUUACCGGUCAUCAAAGUCUGAAGUAUUUGUUUACUCAGCUAGAUCUGUAUCUCCGAAAGCAGCGAUGUAUGGAAGCCAUCAUAGACUAUGACUAUGGUAUUUCUUAUACCGCUGGGAAGGCUAAUGUCAUGGCCGAUGUCCUGAUCGCAUGUCUUAUUGCAACAAUCCCAUGGCUUCUAAAGCUCAACCCCUGCAAGAUGAUCUCACUUACAGAGAGCAUCAGGUCCGCGUUCUCGGUCAAACUGAACAUCGCACCGUGAGAGGGCUUUCAAAAUUCUAAAAGGUUGAGUGGUGAAAUCAUUCUGAAGAUGAAGCCACUUGGGAACUCGAGGGUCGUCUUUGAGAUGAAUACCCCGCUUUUGUUUCCUUCUACCUCCUAAAACUCGGGGCGAGAUUUCUUGUAGUGGAAGAGAAUUGUGACGCUCGGAUAAUUAAGCUACAGUAAUCCCAUGUUAAUGGUGCCAUGUCAUCACAUUACUAUUGCUAAUCCUCACUUAUCCAAAUCAUGAUUCAAAUUCAAAUUCAAAUUAAUGUCCAAAGUUCAAAUUUCUCAAACAUGCAAAAUAAAAUGUUCAAAGUGUGGCAAAUAUUCCAUAACUAAUUAUGGUGGUGACCCAACACUUUUGUGAAGUACUUAAAUGCCCUUUUGCGAAUAAAAUAGUGACUUAGAAAAUUAAUUAAAUGCCUUUUAUAAUUUCUAAAAUAGCAAACUACUUUAAGUAAAGUCCAAACUUUUUGUGGCACUCUAUAUAAUUGCAUCUCUAAUUGCGGGCCAAGUCUCAUUUUUUCUUGGAGGUCAUUUGCUAUUUGAAAAUGAAUUAUAACAGAAGCUAUAAAAGAAAAAUAUGGCAGAAAAGAAAAGGAGGAGGACCUAAGCUACUGGGCUUGUUAGCCCACCUAACUAAAGGCCGGCCCACAUACCCCUCCUCCCUCCUCCUGUUCAUGGGGAGGGGGCCGUGGCAGCCAUCCACGGUGCCUUGCCGCGGUGGCAGCCAUCGGUCGGCUCCUCCCCCUACAUCUACCACGGCACCCCCCAUCGACCCCUCUGUCGAACCCUAGUCUCCCCCACUCCCUCUCCCUCUCGCUCCUCUCCCCUCCAGAUCCGCCGCACCCUAACGGGGAGGUCAACGCGCCCCGCCGUCAGCGCACUCUGGCGCUACCCCGAGCUGCGCCAGGACGUCUGGCUCCUCCGCCGUCGUCGUCUACAUCUCCUCAUCACGCUGGAUGGAGCCGAGCCGCUCCAUCACCGCCAACACCUCCGUCUUCUACCUCGGGCGGCUGAAAUCGCUGCGGACUGCUCGUCGUCUCCGGACCUUCCCCAGGACUUCUCUGCAACGCCGGUGAGCUCCGGCUCCCUUCUCUCCAUUGGCGCCUUCCUCCGCGUUCGUAGCCGUAUUCGUCGUAGUUACCGUACCUGCCGCCGUGGUCGAGCUCGGUUGCCAUGGCCAAAGCUAUGCAUCUGCGCGCGCGCGCCCGCCCCUGACCCCGCGGCUACCUGCCUCUGCGCCCACACCGUCGUUGCUCGCCGCACGCUGCUAGCUGCUCCGCUCGCCAUGCCUCGCAUCGCCCCUGCCGCGUAGUCCUGCUCGCCCCUGCUUCCGCUUCCUCUGCCCCGCCGCAGCCGGACCUGCCCGAUACGGCUGCUCGACCUGCUGUUGCUGCUGCCACGGCCCCGCACAGCCACGCGCGUGCCCAGCCACCGCCGCGCCCACGCCCGGUGCCCGCUUGUCAGCCCCGCACCGGCACCCGCCCUUGCUGCUCUGCGCUGCUGCAGCUUAUGAUGCUAACCGCCGCCGCCUGCAGCUCGUCUGAGCUCCUGCUCGCGCGCCCGCCUUCGCUUCCCACGCGUGCUCGUCGGGGCCCGUAGCCCCCACUGCCGUCGCCGCCCCCACUGCUCCGCCCGCGAUGCCCAGGCCGCGCCUGUUCGCCCCCCUCCUGCCGCGCUUGCCUGGCNNNNNNNNNNNNNNNNNNNNNNNNNNNNNNNNNNNNNNNNNNNNNNNNNNNNNNNNNNNNNNNNNNNNNNNNNNNNNNNNNNNNNNNNNNNNNNNNNNNNNNNNNNNNNNNNNNNNNNNNNNNNNNNNNNNNNNNNNNNNNNNNNNNNNNNNNNNNNNNNNNNNNNNNNNNNNNNNNNNNNNNNNNNNNNNNNNNNNNNNNNNNNNNNNNNNNNNNNNNNNNNNNNNNNNNNNNNNNNNNNNNNNNNNNNNNNNNNNNNNNNNNNNNNNNNNNNNNNNNNNNNNNNNNNNNNNNNNNNNNNNNNNNNNNNNNNNNNNNNNNNNNNNNNNNNNNNNNNNNNNNNNNNNNNNNNNNNNNNNNNNNNNNNNNNNNNNNNNNNNNNNNNNNGCUCGCUGGUGCUGGCCGCCCCCCCCCGACCUCACCGGCUGCCGGCGCCCCGCCGCGCCCUGGUGGCCAUCGCCGGCCACGGCCUCGCCCGUGUGUUGGGGCGGCUGCCCACGCCCACGCCCUCUUGCCCGAUAGCCAGCGCCCGCUAUGGCCUUUGGCCCAAUGCCAGGUGGGCCCCAGCCAUGUAAAAAAAAGUAAUACAAAAAAUAUAUUAAUAAAAUUAAUUAAUUAAUUAGUUAAAUUAUUAAUUAACUUAAUUAAUUAAUCUUAAUUAAACUAAUGAACUAGAUUAGUUAAUUUAAUCAGUAGUUAGGUAAAUGUGUCUAUGACAGGGGGGCCCACCCCUGUUGACCAGUCAAACGUUGACUGGCCAACUGGGUCCCCCUGGCCCGCAUGUCACCCUUUGGUACACUUCUGUGUACACAGAUCUGGGUGCACAUAGCAUUUGAGCUAUUUAAUUUCGAAUUAAUAACAAAUUCAGAAUAUUGUUUAAAUCUUUGAAAAACGUAGAAAUUAAUCCGUAACUCGAAUGAAAAGGUUUUAUACAUGAAAGUUGCUCAGAACGAGGAGGCGAAUCGGAAUACGCUGUCCGUUCAUCUGUCACAUGCCCCUAUCACAGCGAACAUCGAACUUUUCCCCUCCGGUUCGUCAGUCCGAAAAUGCCUAACUCCGGGAAAACUUUCCGGAUGUUAUUCCCCUUCGCCGGUAUCGUGUAGCACUGCGUUAGAACCCCCCUAGCCCUGCGUGUUACCCGUCAUGCAUCUGUGUUGCAUCUGUUUGCAUUAUAUUUACUGUUUCUUCCCCCUCUUCUCUCCGGUAGACCCCGAGACCGCUGCUGAUGCCCCUGUGAUCGACUACGUCGACAACGACCCCUCUUCCCUUUCAGCAAAGCUUCCAGGCAAGCCCCCCCUUUGAUCAUCCCGAUAUCGCCCAUUCCAUUCUCUCAUGCUUGCAUUAGAUUUUGCUACUUAUAUUGUUUGCUCCUAUUCUGAUGCAUAGCCUGCUUUUGUAACCUGCUCAUUGUACCUUACCUGCUUAUCCUAAACUGCUUAGUAUAGGUUGGUUAGUGAUCCAUCAAUGACCCCCACCUUGUCCUUGUUGCCCCUGCUUCAUCUUCGAUGACUCGAUCAACGUGAUCGAUGACCAGAGCAUGACACCUCAGAUCACAUCACGCCCUUUUUGUUGCUCGACUCUGCAGAGCUACUAUCGAGUGCCGAGGGUGAUCCCUCAUAACGCACCCCUGAUGAUAAUUCUGUAGUGUAGCUAUUCGGUCGUGGUUAUCGAGGGUGAUUUCCUCUUUCACCAUUCCCGAUACGGCUCUGUCGUGCAACACCUCAAGUGUCAACCUCGAGGGUGGUCCCUCUUACGUUCACCUUGAUGAUUACAUUGAGUGGAAUCCACCGGGGGUGAUUCCUCGGGUUUUACCCUUGAUGUUUGGACACACGGUUACCUUGACUUUACUUGAGACCAUUGUUGAAGUCGGGUCGGCCCUGAGGGAUACCGGCGAGUUGAUGUGAAAGUCAGGCGGGCCCGUUGAGCACCCGCGAGUUUUCUACGUGGCACGGUCGGGGAGUCUGGGCCCUUGCCGUAAGUCCAUGAGACGGGGCGACGGGGUCACAUUAUCGUGAAUCUCUACUCGUCUCCGCGAGCCCCAAAUGCACUAACAGGUUUGGGUAUUUGUUCUGAGUUGGCCUCUGGCCUUUACGCACCAACCACCACGCGAGAAUAGUUAUGGGCCUCGACGUCGUAGUAUCAGCCGAAGCUUUGUGAGACGUCUCGUUCAGCAUUGCGGCACGGCUGGGCCGGCACCAUCCUGUAGUGGUGGAGCCUGGACCCGCCCUGCACGUAACGACCCGGAGUGCAACGGGCGAUGGGCCCAGACCACGGAGUGCUUAGGAUGUAGACCGGCGGGGACCUCUCUGCUGAGCCUAGGUAGGGCUACGACGUGUUGAUUUUCCGAGGCCGGGCAUUGACCCAGAAAAGUGUGUCCGGCCAGAGUAAUCAAGCGUGUUGAAAAACGUGGUGCACCCCUGCAGGGAAGAUAUAUAUUCGAAUACCGUGUCCACGGUAAUGGACGUUCAGACUUGUAUCCCGAUCUUAUAUAACUAGAAAUGGAUACUUGAGACAUGGGAUGGUUAUGUGGCUCCGGGAUUGCUUACUCGUAGGGAGUCGAGGAAGGAUCUCUGGGUGUUAAUGCUACAACAUGCUUGUUAAAUAUAAGCUGCAAGAUGCUUGGAGCUGCUUGAAGAUGCUAGUCUUUGAUAGGCUAGGCCUGCCCCUCUAUUCUGGCAUUCUGCAGUUCAGUCCACAGAUACAACCCUUCCAUUUGAUACUAAUGCAUACUUAGUAUAGAUCUGAUGCUUGCGAGUACUUUGGAUGAGUACUCACGGUUGCUUUGCUUCCCCUUUCGCCCCUUCUUUCUUCUUUCUGGUUGUUGCAACCAGAUGGUGGACCCCAGGAGUCAGAUGCCACCCCGGCCGACUAUGACUACUACCCUGAGGGUGCCUACUACUAUGUGGAGACCGCCGACGACCAGGAGUAGUUAGGAGGUCCCAGGCAGGAGGCCUUGCCUCUUCGAUCGUGUUGCUUUUGGUGCUAGCCUUCUUAAGGCAUCCUUGUUUAACCUAUGUCUGUACUUAGAUAUUGUUGCUUCCGCUGACGCUUGUAUUCAAGCUUCUGUAUUCGAGCCCUCGAGGCCCCUGGCUUGUAAUAUGAAGGUUGUAUUAUUUCAAUUUGUGUUUAGAGUUGUGUUGUGAUAUCUUCCCGUGAGUCCCUGAUCUUGAUCGUACACGUUUGCGUGUAUGAUUGGUGUACGGUCGAAUCGGGGUGUCACAGUGGUGCCCACCCAGGUGCCCCCUCCAGUGGUUCUUAGCUCCAAAAAUUCUCUUUAUUGAUAUAAAGAAAUCCUCGCAAAGUCUCG
rnacentral:lncRNA from 1 species